rnacentral:tRNA from 2 species
GGAGGGGUGCUCCGAAUGGUAAGGAACCAGUCUUGAAAACUGGCGCCCGAAAGGGCUUGCAGGUUCGAGUCCUGUCCCCUCCG